rnacentral:rRNA from 1 species
UACGUAGGUGGCAAGCGUUGUCCGGAAUUAUUGGGCGUAAAGCGCGCGCAGGUGGUUUCUUAAGUCUGAUGUGAAAGCCCACGGCUUAACCGUGGAGGGUCAUUGGAAACUGGGAGACUUGAGUGCAGAAGAGGAAAGUGGAAUUCCAAGUGUAGCGGUGAAAUGCGUAGAGAUUUGGAGGAACACCAGUGGCGAAGGCGACUUUCUGGUCUGCAACUGACGCUGAGGCGCGAAAGCAUGGGGAGCAAACAGG